UACGUAGGGUCCGAGCGUUAAUCGGAAUUACUGGGCGUAAAGCGUGCGCAGGCGGUUUUGUAAGCCAGAUGUGAAAGCCCCGGGCUCAACCUGGGAACUGCAUUUGGGACUGCAAGGCUGGAGUACGGCAGAGGGAGGUGGAAUUCCACGUGUAGCAGUGAAAUGCGUAGAUAUCAGGAGGAAUACCGAUGGCGAAGGCAGGUCUCUGGGCUGAUACUGACGCUCAUGCACGAAAGCGUGGGGAGCAAACAGG
rnacentral:rRNA from 1 species